rnacentral:misc_RNA from 1 species
AGAACUUAUAGCGUUAGAGGGGCAGAUAAUCUAAAAAACAAUGCAAUAAAAUCAAGGCCGGGGAAUCAUUUUAUAGCUUUGUGCAAUUCAAUCUGAACCAUCAGUAGACAUGUGCCCUAAGGUAACACUUACUAAUUGGGUUUGCUACUUAUUGAGUUUGCAGAUUUGUUUGAAGCACCCAUUGGAUUGCCACCACAACGCCCCCAUGAUCACCGAAUUACUCUCCAACCUGGGGCUGGCCCAGUUUGUGUCCACCCAUACAGAUACCCUCACUUCCAGAAAUAAGAAAUUGAAUGCUUGGUGGAGGAGAUGUUGUCGCAAGGAAUGAUACGUCCAAGUCGUAACCCUUUUUCCUCUCUGGUGCUACUUGUUCGGAAACAAGACUUGUUCGGAAACAAGAUGGAAGUUGGAGGUUUUGUGUGGAUUAUAGGGCCCUAAAUCGGUUGAUCGUGAAGGAUAAAUUCCCAAUUCCAGUCAUAGAUGAAUUACUUGAUGAACUACAAGAGGCAAAAUUUUUCACAAAGCUGGAUCUCAUAUCAGGUUAUUUCCAAAUUGGGAUGAAUCUAGAUGAUGUGCAUAAAAUGGCCUUCCGCACUCAUCAUGGUCACUAUGAAUUUUUGGUAAUGCCCUUCAGACUUUCAAAUCUCCCUCGACAUUUCAGUUUCUCAUGAAUGAAAUUUUCAAGCCUUACUCGAGAAAAUUCAUUCUUGUUUUCUUCGACGAUAUUUUUAUAUAUAGCAAAACUUUGCUGACCAUAUACAAUAUGUUAGAAUUGCUUUUUCUCUUUUGAGAGCUCACCAUCUUGCAGUUAAGAAGGAGAAGUUCCAAUUCGGACAAACCCAAGUUAAAUAUUUGGGUCAUAUCAUUGAUGAGAAUGGGGUAAAGGUGGAUCAUGAAAAAAUCAAAGCAUGGAGGAAUGGCCAAAACCUGCUACUGUAAAAGCCUUAAGAGGUUUUUUUUGGGAUUAACUGGCUACUACCGAAAGUUUAUUGCAGGAUAUGGAGGAAUUGCAGCUCCAUUGACUUCGAUGUUAUAGAAAAAUGCUUUUUCUUCGACCCAAGAAGCUGACAAAGCCUUCGAACUACUAAAAUCAGCUAUGACUAAGGCACCUGUAUUUGCAUUACCGAAUUUCAAUCUUUUAUUUAUCCUUGAAUAUGAUGCUUCAGGUACUGGUUUGGGAGCUGUCUUAAUGCAGGAGCAGAGGCCCAUUGCUUAUUUUAGUGCUGCCUUAAAAGUAAAGAAUUUAUUAUUGUCCACUUAUGAGAAGGAGCUUAUGGUUUUGGUUCUAGCAGUGAAAAAAUGGAGACCAUAUUUAUUGGGUCAUCGCUUUGUUGUCCGAACGGAUCAACGUAGCCUCAAAUUCUUGUGGGACCAGCAGAUCAUGACAGAACCCCAGUAAAAGUGGUUAGUCAAAUUAAUGGGGUAUGAUUUUUCCAUCGAAUACAAGAAAGGAAAAGCUAAGUUGGCUGCUGAUGCAUUAUCCAAGAAGGACAUGGAAGGGGAACUCAAGGCUUUAUCCAAACCUUUGCUGCAAUGGUUAGAAGCUAUCAAAGCUGAAAAUCAGUCCAGCCCGGAGUUGCAAUGAAUCCAUCAAUUGCAUGAGUAAGGGGAAGCUAUUGGGCCAUGGAAGAAUCGAGAUGGAAUUUUGAUCUUCAAAGAGCGAAUUUUUCUACCUGAAAAUUCAGAACUCAUCCCAAUAAUUCUCCAAGAAAUGCAUGGCAUCAAGCAUGAAGGAUUUCACAACACCAUCCACAGAGUCAGAGAAGUUUUUUACUGGAAAAAAAAUGAGGAAGACAUUAUGAGAAUAUAUUCAGCAGUGUGAUGUGUGCCAACAACAUAAAAUCGAUCAUCAGUCUCCCGCAGGUCUUCUUUAUCCUCUACCCAUUCCUAUACAGGUAUGGAUUGAUAUCUCUAUGGAUUUUAUCGAUGGGCUUCCUCUUUCUAAAGGCAAAACGGUUCUUUUUUGUGGUGGUGGACUGAUUGUCCAAAUAUGCACAUUUUAUACCAUUAUCACAUCCUUAUACAACAACAAAUGUGGCACAAGCAUUUUUUGAGAAUGUUUUUAAGCUCCAUGGCAUGCCAAGUUCAAUAGCUUGU